UGUUCACCUGGGCAGUCAGAAGUGAUGACAGGAAACAGCAGCCUUGAACCAUCUCUGGAUUCUGUUCAUCUCCUGACCUUCAGGCUCAGAGCAACCGUGGAAUGAACCUUUGAAACACGAAGAGAAAGAAACCCUUUCCUCCUUCCAGAAAAAAAAAAUCCUGAUGCUGAUUUCCGGUCAUCAUCCUCACAGUCCC